AAUAUUGGGCAAUGGGCGAAAGCCUGACCUAGCAACGCCGCGUGAAGGAAGAAGGUCUUCGGAUUGUAAACUUCUUUUAUGAGGGACGAAGGACGUGACGGUACCUCAUGAAUAAGCCACGGCUAACUACGUGCCAGCAGCCGCGGUAAUACGUAGGUGGCGAGCGUUAUCCGGAUUUACUGGGUGUAAAGGGCGCGUAGGCGGGGAUGCAAGUCAGACGUGAAAUCUAUGGGCUUAACUCAUAAACUGCAUUUGAAACUGUAUUUCUUGAGUGCUGGAGAGGUAGACGGAAUUCCUUGUGUAGCGGUGAAAUGCGUAGAUAUAAGGAAGAACACCAGUGGCGAAGGCGAUCUACUGGACAGUAACUGACGCUGAGGCGCGAGAGCGUGGGGAGCAAACA
rnacentral:rRNA from 1 species